GCUACAAACCUUGGUAGAUGGUUGAAAAAUGGAUCAAAGAAACAGAUGCACUUAUAAAACUAAAUAGUAUUGUACAGAGAAGAAUAGAAAAUGCAGCUGGAACUUACCUGCUAAUAACAUAUUACACAGGUCUCAUUUGAAUAAUUUUGUUUUUCUUUCAAAUCUUUCGUCAUUUUAAACUGUCUUACAUCUAUUUCAAACAGUUUAAAUUACAUGCAUUUGUGAUAAAGGGUGUAAUCGCUAUUUUGUGCAUUAUUCCUUUGAACUGUUUGUGAUAAUUUUCCAACUCUAGAGAGAGGUAGAAAUAGGAAUAGUGUACACUUAUACUAGAACCAAUUUGUUUAUAACACUUAAUUGUAUUUUUAUAAGUCAAACCUGGUAAUAAUGUAUUACAUAACAGACCAAGGCCCAGUACACUUAUGUGGAAAUUAAUACAACAACACAUGUGAUGCGUUAAUAUCGGCAAAUCCAAUUCCGUGACUGUACCGUUGCCAUAUAGUAUUUUAAUUGAUCCCAAGUGAAAUUUGAUCUAAGUAGAAUAUUUUGAAUAGAACAUUUACUUGAAAUCGGAUUUAAAUUUUAAUUGUUACAGUACAGCUCUUUGAAUUAUGUAUUUACGUAUUUAAAUGUGUGCGUCCUAUGAAAUUCGUACUGUUUAACAUUUCAUCUUUGGAUGCGAUCUUAGUUUAACCAAGGAGGUUAUAUAACCUCCUUGGUUUAACUAACUUGUGUCUAAUACUUUUUCGAUAUUUAAAAAUAAAAUAUUUUUGAACUGACACCCCAUUAAAAGAUUUAUCCCAAUUGUUUAUUCAAGAUACUGAUUGGAAUAUUAUUACUAGCAAAUACAGUUUAAUUGUUGCGAUAACAUGCAAUUCUGCCAUUUUGUAAAAAGCGGUUAAAUGUGGUAGAGAUCAAAAUGCCAUGGUUAGGUAAUAUUUAUGUAAUGUCUUGUCCAACACAUUUUAUUUUACUUGAAACAGGACUUUAAGUAAAACUAAAAUAAUUUUAAACUAUGUAAUUGAAUAAAAAUGUUUAAUAUAUAUAUACUGAUUUGAAAAGAGGAUUCGUGGAGCAUAUGACAGACCCAGCAACGGUAACGUUGUUUGUAUUGAUACUUUUGGAUUUGAGUAUUAAGUAAAUAAAAGAAAGACCAAUUAUUUGUCCGUAAUUGAAUUCAGAAGGAAAUAAAAUAGACUUUCAAUUGUUUAGGAUUUCCAGUUCUAUGUUACAGAACAAAUUGAAAAUUUGUGGUAUUCAGAAGUCUUUUAACUCAAAAUAGAAUUAGAUAUUCUAUGCUUUUGAAAGUAAUCAAUUUGGACUUAAUAAUAUGAGCAGAGUUUCGGGAAAAAGACUUUGCUCUAAUUAAAAGAUUGCAUUCCAUAUAUAUAUAUUUUGAGACAUUUUAACAUGUGUAUCGAAAGACAUUAUUAACAUAAAAUUAAGAUUUUAUAAUGUGAUAUGCAAUAUUGAAAAAUACUUUUUGAAUUUUGUGUAUGUGCUUAUAUAUAAUUACUAAGAAUGUGCUCAAAUUCAGUUUUCAGCCAUAUAUUUAUCUAUAAGUUUGAUAAAAAUUUAUGGAAUGCAUGUACACUUAGGUGAUGUUAAAAAUUUAACGUACGUCAUAUGAACUAAUGAUACUGUGAAUUUGGUAAAGAUUGAAGGACAUUUAGAAAUCGUCUGUCAUAUGAAAUAAAUUCUUAGGAAAUUGGACAUACCGUUUUAAUUUUUUAUUUAGUUUGAUUAUAUAAGUUUAUUUUUAACAAUGAUUUUUUUUAGCGGCUAUUCUCAUUACCAUUCCGUCCAAUCUUUGGUCCACCUAGUACAAAUCAUGUUACACUGUUAUUGUAGAUAUAUAUUUUUUUAGGAAAUUGUACUGGCAAAAUAAUCGCUUAUGACUUUAAGUUAUCAAUGAUUAUAUUAUUUAUAAACGUUUAAUUGCAUUCAGCUUUAAUUUUAAGAACUUACACAAAAACCCUUUAAAUUAAGGAAUACUUUGCAAAUUAUACUGGUGAAAAUAUCUUUUUACGUUUGAAAUGUAUGUUAUUUUACAGAGGAGUAUUGAAAGAUUUAAUCUUUUUACAUAUAACAUACAAAUAUUUGGAAAAGUAAGUCUUGAAUGCAUAUUGUUCUAGUGCAUAUGAGAAAUGACGUAUCCAAAUGUAAGGGAAAAUAUACCAGACAUAUUUUAUGAAUACUAUGCAAAUAAAAUUCGUUUAAUUUUCAUUCAAGUCAGAAUACUACAAAUGAACAUAAAACUGAUGUGAUAUGUCUAUUAAUAUGUAAAUAGACUCCUCGUAUAUACCAGGAUUGAAAUUUCGUAUCUGCACCAGAUGCGCGUUUCGUUUACAAAAGACUUAUCAGUGACGCUCGAAUAAAAUAAAGUUCAAAAGGCUAAACAUAGUACGAGUUUGCCAAAUACAGCUGAUGUAAUCUAUUCCUGAGGCAAAAGUUUUGUUAACAGCUAAUUUAUAAUUAUGACCAUAUUAAUGAUAAUGAAUGAAUCUUUAUUGCAUUAGCAACAACAUUGCUUUAGCAUAAUACAUAUAUACAUUUAUGACAAAUAUGACAGAAUACAGAGAACAAUUAAACAAAUUAAUUCAUGUCAAUACAGGAGUGCUAAAUACUAACAUUUGUUUGACACAUCGCAUUAUAAAACAUGAGUUACGACCCCUUAACUCUACAGGUAUUUAAUUUGAACAAUUUUUUUUUAUAACAGAACAAAAUGAAUUAUAGGUUACGGCAUAGCUUUCCUAUCCGACGAAAGCACAAAAUCAAAAUAUUUCGACAUCUACAAGAUGACUUUGGAGUCUACUAUAUACUACUCUUAAGAGAUAUUUUUUAAAUAGUAUGGUGUUUUAAGCUAAAUUAUAUUGAUAGAUGUAAUAUAAAUGUAUUUAAAUCUGUGUUUUUAGAGUCUCUCAUAACUCUUUUUAGAGUGGCUCUUUUAUAAAUUGAUCAGUUAAUAUUAUAUUGUGUUUAAUAUCAAUUUUUUUAAAGAGGUGAGACUCUAAUAAAUUAUUUGUUUGUUUGUUUGUUUGUUAUGUUGUACUUAAAUUUAGGCAGUAGAAAUAAAUACAUUUGAAAACCAACUUCUGAUUGUAAAAACUUCGAUUCACUUACUUAUUUUUGACAUAAAAUUCCAUGAACACGGUCUUUCCUGUAAAAUAAACAGACCAAUUUAUUGUAUUUUUUCACCUUAUAUGUAGAAGUAUUCGACUAUUUUCUUCUUUUUAGUUGCUUUUUAAUCUUUGAUUGUUAUAUCCAUUGUCUUGUCAAUCAUACCAUAUACAUCUCCUUAUUCAGAUAUUGUAAUACAAAUGAACUUUAAAUUAAAAAAGAAAUAACAGCAAAAGAUAUAAAAUGUAGCAAAGCUUAAAGUCUUGAAACAUUAUAUGUAUAAAUAUAUACAAUUAAUAAGUUCGGAUAAUCUUAGAGAACUAUGUAGUUUUGGUAAAUUUAUAUUUCGUGCACAAAAAUGAAAGAUAUAACAUGUAAUAUGUUAUAUACUAUCUUCUGCUAUCUAUGUAUACUUUGUGUAGUUUAUGUGUUGUAUGCCUAUAGUUGUUAUGACUUAUGUUAAUAAGGAUUAUAUCUGUGUAUAAUCUAUAUGAAAUAGUUUACAAGGCCUUACUGUCACAUUCUUGUUUUUUUGCUAAUCAUUUUAAUUUAUUGAUUUGUUUUGUGAUUGAAUUGGCCUUAUAUUGCCUGAUGUUUAUGCUUACCAACUAAUUUAUUUUGGUCAAAGAUUUAUAUAGUAAGUCAUAUUAUACAAGUGCUUGCUUUUGUGUAGCUUAAAUGACAGUAAUAAUAAAAUACUAAUGUUCAUUUUUUCAUAUAUGGUUUUUUUUUAACCCCAUUAGGACAAGUAA
rnacentral:lncRNA from 1 species